CCAAAACCGAAAAGCUUCUAGAUUCCUCCAAAAUGGUCCUAGAUCAGAACUACUAGGAGUGAUCUGUAAUUUUACCAAGCUCAGCCAGUAAUCCUGAUGCAAGAGCAGGCUGGGUAAACUCUGAUUCAGCAUCUCCCUCCAUGAUGUAAACUGAAAAGACUAAUUGAAAACAUCUGAAUUGUGCUUAGAUGAUUAAGAAGAGAACCCUGACUUGUACCAGAUAAUUGAUGUCAUAAAAGAAAACUGACACAGGGGCUAGGAAGAUUACUGAUAACAGUGACUAGAAAGCUGGAGAAUGCAUCAAGAAAGGACUCUUUCGGCUUGGCAAUAAAAGAAAGUGCUAACUGGGGCACAAAGUUUUGCACCAGAGACCUCCUGGUCUGCAGUCAAAUAUUCUAGCCUUCAGCACUAAUGGGUAGGGAUCCCAAGAAUCCCACAAUGUACUGGACAGAGAAAGUGACCUGAAGAGAGGGCCCCAUGGAUGGAAAAAUCAUGAAAUAGAAAUCAGAGAAGUCCACAGUUUCUGGAGCAUGGCCCAACACAGACAUUGCAAACUUUGUUCAGUAGGAAAGAAGGGCCCAGCCAGUGACUGGAUUGGACCAUGAGCUGCUAGAACACAGGCCCUGUCUCUGCCCUGGAAUUAAGCUCACAUUCCUGCUUGACUAACACCAUUCUGCAUUGCCUCACCCAGGAAGUCCAUUGCACU
rnacentral:lncRNA from 1 species